CGUAGGGUGCGAGCGUUAAUCGGAAUUACUGGGCGUAAAGCGUGCGCAGGCGGUUAUGUAAGACAGAUGUGAAAUCCCCGGGCUCAACCUGGGAACUGCAUUUGUGACUGCAUGGCUAGAGUACGGUAGAGGGGGAUGGAAUUCCGCGUGUAGCAGUGAAAUGCGUAGAUAUGCGGAGGAACACCGAUGGCGAAGGCAAUCCCCUGGACCUGUACUGACGCUCAUGCACGAAAGCGUGGGGAGCAAACAGGAUUAGAUACCCUGGUAGUCCACGCCCUAAACGAUGUCAACUGGUUGUUGGGAAUUAGUUUCUCAGUAACGAAGCUAACGCGUGAAGUUGACCGCCUGGGGAGUGCGGCCGCAAGGUUG
rnacentral:rRNA from 1 species